rnacentral:rRNA from 1 species
UACGAAGGGGGCUAGCGUUGUUCGGAAUUACUGGGCGUAAAGGGCGCGUAGGCGGUGUGUCAAGUCAGGCGUGAAAGCCCCGGGCUCAACCUGGGAACUGCGCUUGAGACUGGCACACUCGAGUUCGGGAGAGGAUGGUGGAAUUCCCAGUGUAGAGGUGAAAUUCGUAGAUAUUGGGAAGAACACCGAUGGCGAAGGCAGCCAUCUGGACCGACACUGACGCUGAGGCGCGAAAGCGUGGGGAGCAAACAGG